GCUGUUGCUGGAAAUUAACUUCGCCCUGUCAACCUCCAGGCUUUCUCCUCUGUGCUUCAAGCAAAGCUCAGCCAAGCUGAGGAGUCAAACUGUCUGUGUCAAACAAGGCUGCAGCAGGGGGUAUGAGGUUGACUAUGGCUCUGGAGUUGAGCAACAGAGGUGGAGGGAAGAUGGAAAUAAGAGAAAGAUUGUUUUCAGAGGAAGAGACAGGGAAGUGGUGAGGCGGGGAGUCAGGAGAUGCAGGUGGCAUGGAGAUGUAGGAGAGGAAGGCAGGCACAGCUUUGUAAUCCUACUCAAACAUGACCUACCUGCAGAAAAUGAGAGGACAUGUACUGUGACUUGACUUGUAAGGUGAGCACGAGCAUUGGACAUGAUAAAAAUACAGCUUUUGAAGAAACAGAAGAGUUGGGGAGAAUUUGGCUGAGAGAUCCUGGGUGAUUGUUCUAGAUAGAGAUAAAUUACACAUGGUAUUGUCUUCUUUGUGCUUAAUUUUUAAUUAUGUUGUGGGCACUACAAGUUAGAAAAGCUGGUAAGAAACUAAAUCAAGAUCUGACUUUCAAGUGCACCACUGACCCACAGACUUCCCAUGUCCUUGGGCAAAAUGCUUUCUCCUUUUUUUUCUUCCUCUCACUGCUUCAUCUGUAAAACACAGAUAACACUACGUCUUUUUUCACAGCCUAUUUACAUAAUAAAAGCCUUUCCAUGCA